rnacentral:rRNA from 1 species
ACUUAAGCAUAUCAAUAAGCGGAGGAAAAGAAACUAACAAGGAUUCCCCUAGUAACUGCGAGUGAAGCGGGAAAAGCUCAAAUUUAAAAUCUGGCGGUCUUUGGCCGUCCGAGUUGUAAACUAGAGAAGUGUCACCCGCGUUGGACCGUGUACAAGUCCCCUGGAAUGGGGCGUCAUAGAGGGUGAGAAUCCCGUCUUUGACACGGACUACCAGGGCUUUGUGGUACACUCUCAAAGAGUCGAGUUGUUUGGGAAUGCAGCUCAAAAUGGGUGGUAAAUUCCAUCUAAAGCUAAAUAUUGGCGAGAGACCGAUAGCGAACAAGUACCGUGAGGGAAAGAUGAAAAGAACUUUGGAAAGAGAGUUAAACAGUACGUGAAAUUGCUGAAAGGGAAACGCUUGAAGUCAGUCGCGUUGGCCAGGGAUCAGCCUUGCUUUUGCUUGGUGUACUUUCUGGUUGACGGGUCAGCAUCAAUUUUGACUGCUGGAAAAAGGCUCGGGGAAUGUGGCAGCUUCGGCUGUGUUAUAGCCUCUUGUCAUAUACAGCGGUUGGGAUUGAGGAACUCAGCACGCCGCAAGGCCGGGUUUCGACCACGUUCGUGCUUAGGAUGCUGGCAUAAUGGCUUUAAGCGACCCGUCUUGAAACACGGACCAAGGAGUCUAACAUGCCUGCAAGUGUUUGGGUGUAAAACCCAAGCGCGUAAUGAAAGUAAAAGUUGAGAUCCCUGUCGUGGGGAGCAUCAACGCCCGGACCAGAACUUUUGGGACGGCUCCGCGGUAGAGCAUGUAUGUUGGGACCCGAAAGAUGGUGAACUAUGCCUGAAUAGGGUGAAGCCAGAGGAAACUCUGGUGGAGGCUCGUAGCGAUUCUGACGUGCAAAUCGAUCGUCAAAUUUGGGUAUAGGGGCGAAAGACUAAUCGA